GAGUUUCUUUCGUGAAGCUGAGGAGACAUCGAGAAUGGAUCCAUCCGCACACUGGCCGUGGGUCGUCAUCUCAACAGCUGAUGAUGGGGAUUCGUAAAAAGAUAAUUAAAAUAUCUCAGCAUUACCCUUCGGAACACCACAAGUGGUGACGAUGACGGGACCAAGCUCGGUAUGCGACCUGACCUGCCCUCCAACCCGUGAACAACCGAACAAAUGACGAUGAACAAAUGAACAAAUUCUCUGACCUCACACGACCCCAUGACCUGCCAGAUGACCCCUGUCACCUCCUCAAGAAGAUGCAGUGACCCCAAAGUCGACUGUGUGAUCACUUAUAUAUUUAAUACUAUAUAGUAUUUUUCUCUGCAUUCGCCGUUGGCAAUGCUGCUCGCCAUUAAUAAUUUCCUUUAUUAAUAUCUAAGUUUUCAAGUAAUGAUGUCUUUUUCUUGUAUUUUCUUUAUAGAAUUUAAGGAUUUUUUUAUAUCUCGAAUAUAUUUCAUGCUUUUUAUAACUCCAUUAGUAUAUUCUAUAAGAAGAGAUUAGUGUCAUUAAGCUAUCGAUCUCUCGUAUCAUUAAGAUAUUAUUUUUUAUACAAGUCUUCUGUAAUAUAUAUACCUAUCUAUUUGGCAUACAUAUGUCUUGUGUGUCUGUCGGUCUCCCAUCAUGACUGCCACACAUUCAUAAUUUGAUCCAUAUAUUUGUGGAGCCUAAUUAUAACAGUCGUCGUUAUAUUUAUUAUUAUCUUUCUUAAUAUCUUCUCUUGUUCUUUAUUAUCUAAUCGCUCUGUUUAUCUGUUCUAUCCUUACCCAUGAGGAUAACAGAAAUAAUAAUACUAAUUUUCCGGGAUAAUUCAAAGGUUACCAUUAUCGUAUAGAUUUUAUUUUUUUCGACUUUUAAUACUUGGAUAUCUUUUAUUUUUGUAUUUUUUGAAAAAUGUUUUGAAAUAAUCGAAUUUUUGGAUUCAGAGAUGUCUCCAUGUAUAUUUUUUUUUGUUACUAAUGGAUAAAGUUUAUAAUUUUAUCUUUCUUUAGUUUUGUUAAUAUAUAUAUAUACAUACACAUAUAUAUAUAUGUAUAUACAUAUAUAUAUAUGUACAUACAUAUAUAUUAUCACUGUUGUUUUUUUUAAAUGCUUAAUCUUUAAGUUGAUAUCUUUAAGUAUGUCAUACAUUGUUACUAUUUCUUAUAUUUACCAAGUUUACAAUGCAUUUAAUAUGUAUUUAAAAAAAUAUAGUUUGAUCCAUGUAUCCAUAGAGCCUGAAGAGAAAAUACAAUUGCCAAAAUAUAUCGGUUUAUGAUACCUAUAAUUUCUUCUCUUCUCAUGAUGUAAUAUUUUUAAAGAUUAUCUAUUUUUCAAACAUUUUUAUCAUGAAUUUGCUGAUGUAUUUAUGCGCCUUCUGGCACUGUGAUAAGAGUCUGUGAUAAUAAAACUCGAAAGCUAUAA